rnacentral:rRNA from 1 species
GUUUGAUCCUGGCUCAGAACGUACGCUGGCGGCACGCCUAACACAUGCAAGUCGAACGAAGUAGCAAUACUUAGUGGCAGACGGGUGAGUAACAUGUAGGUAUCUGCCCUUUGGCCUGGAAUAACACGAGGAAACUUGUGCUAAUACCGGAUAAGUCUUUACGGAGAAAGCUUUAUGCACCAUUGGAUGAGCCUGCACUUGAUUAGUUUGUUGGUGGGGUAAUGGCCUACCAAGACUGUGAUCAAUAGCUGAUUUGAGAGGAUGAUCAGCCACAUUGGGACUGAGACACGGCCCAAACUCCUACGGGAGGCAGCAGUGGGGAAUCUUGCACAAUGGAGGAAACUCUGAUGCAGCGAUGCCGCGUGAGUGAAGAAGGCCCUUGGGUUGUAAAGCUCUUUCGUCGGGGAAGAAAAUGACUGUACCCGAAUAAGAAGGUCCGGCUAACUUCGUGCCAGCAGCCGCGGUAAUACGAAGGGACCUAGCGUAGUUCGGAAUUACUGGGCUUAAAGAGUUCGUAGGUGGUUGAAAAAGUUGGUGGUGAAAUCCCAGAGCUUAACUCUGGAACUGCCAUCAAAACUUUUCAGCUAGAGUAUGAUAGAGGAAAGCAGAAUUUCUAGUGUAGAGGUGAAAUUCGUAGAUAUUAGAAAGAAUACCAAUUGCGAAGGCAGCUUUCUGGAUCAUUACUGACACUGAGGAACGAAAGCAUGGGUAGCGAAGAGGAUUAGAUACCCUCGUAGUCCAUGCCGUAAACGAUGUGUGUUAGACGUUGGAAAUUUAUUUUCAGUGUCGCAGCGAAAGCGAUAAACACACCGCCUGGGGAGUACGACCGCAAGGUUAAAACUCAAAUGAAUUGACGGGGACCCGCACAAGUAGUGGAGCAUGUGGUUUAAUUCGAAGAUACGCGCAGAACCUUACCAACACUUGACAUGUUCGUCGCGACUUUAAGAGAUUAAAGUUUUCGGUUCGGCCGGACGAAACACAGGUGCUGCAUGGCUGUCGUCAGCUCCGUCGUU